rnacentral:rRNA from 1 species
UAUUGGGCGUAAAGCGAGCGCAGGCGGAAAAAUAAGUCUAAUGUGAAAGCCCUCGGCUUAACCGAGGAACUGCAUCGGAAACUGGUUGGCUUGAGUGCGGAAGAGGUAAGUGGAACUCCCAGUGUAGCGGUGAAAUGCGUAGAGAUUGGGAGGAACACCAGUGGCGAAGGCGACUUACUGGGCCGUAACUGACGCUGAGGCGCGAAAGCGUGGGGAGCGAACAGGAUUAGAUACCCUGGUAGUCCACGCUGUAAACGAUGAAUGCCAGGUGUAGGAGGUAUCGACCCCUUCUGUGCCGGAGUAAACACAAUAAGCAUUCCGCCUGGGGAGUACGGCCGCAAGGUUGAAACUCAAAGGAAUUGACGGGGGCCCGCACAAGCAGCGGAGCAUGUGGUUUAAUUCGAAGCAACGCGAAGAACCUUACCUAGACUUGACAUCUCCUGCAUUACUCUUAAUCGAGGAAGUCUCUUCGGAGACAGGAUGACAGGUGGUGCAUGGUUGUCGUCAGCUCGUGUCGUGAGAUGUUGGGUUAAGUCCCGCAACGAGCGCAACCCUUAUUGUUAGUUGCCAUCAUUAAGUUGGGCACUCUAGCGAGACUGCCCGGGUUAACCGGGAGGAAGGUGGGGAUGACGUCAAAUCAUCAUGCCCCUUAUGUCUAGGGCUACACACGUGCUACAAUGGUCGGUACAAUAAGACGCAAGCCCGCGAGGGGGAGCAAAACUGGAAAACCGAUCUCAGUUCGGAUUGUAGGCUGAAACUCGCCUACAUGAAGCUGGAGUUGCUAGUAAUCG